AUAAUGGAACACGGGUGCUGGAUGAAGUCCGGCUGAGAUAGGAGCCUUAUGCUCCUGACCGUUAAUCUGAUCCAGGUAAUGCUGGCGUAGAGAAAUCAUCCGAAUUGUUA
rnacentral:ncRNA from 1 species